CCCGCAGGUGUAGGGCACUUAGCCGUGGUUUGACACACUGCGUGAAACGCUCACACGUCCGUGUUCCGGACACGGCUGCUGGA
rnacentral:tRNA from 2 species